rnacentral:lncRNA from 1 species
GCCCCAAAUACAGGUUCCCAGCCAAUACCCAAUCCCAAACAGUGGAAGAAACAACCAUAGCAAUAGCAACAACAGACAACAGACAAUGUCCACAAAUUCCACGCAAGUCAAGGUACAGGGGCUACUACUAGCAUAAUACUAAAUAAAAUGGAAUAUGAAAUAAUGAAAUAAUGAAAUAAAAUGGAAUAUAAAAUAACAAAAAUAAUAAAGG